rnacentral:rRNA from 1 species
UGGGGUAACGGCUCACCUAGGCGACGAUCCCUAGCUGGUCUGAGAGGAUGACCAGCCACACUGGAACUGAGACACGGUCCAGACUCCUACGGGAGGCAGCAGUGGGGAAUAUUGCACAAUGGGCGCAAGCCUGAUGCAGCCAUGCCGCGUGUAUGAAGAAGGCCUUCGGGUUGUAAAGUACUUUCAGCGGGGAGGAAGGGAGUAAAGUUAAUAC